rnacentral:lncRNA from 1 species
UGCAGGUUGUUGGUGGAUGUGUGGGGGAAUUGAGCUAGUUCUUGCCAGCUGCUUUGGCUUGGAUAUUUUAAAGAAGGCUGGUUGAGUUGUUUAGCAAAUAAUUCUUGUUUGAAUUAAAAAUGCUUGAAUUAGCUCAUCAAUAGUUCCAUUGGAACGUACUAUUUGUGUUUUUUAAUCAAUAUAACUACUUGGCUGAGCGAGCUGAGAGUUUUGUACCUGGGCAAUGUUGUGAGUUGAGCAAUUUUGAAAUCAAAGUUUUGAAUUGUUGUUAGAUGAGGGUUGAUGGGUGGUUUAAUUAGUUGGAUAUGGUGACCUGAUGGUCCAUUUUCUUGACCUUAAAGUUAGAUUUGGUUAUCCCAAUGAAGUUAGUUCAAAGUUUCGAGGACCGUUUCCUAGAAUUUGGUAUCCAGCAAAUCUGCACUCCUACGGAAUUUGGGGCAGGAAUUGUGAACGAUUGGAUGGAUUGACUGGAUUUUGAUGCAGGAUCUGGGCGCAGCUAAUCAACAGUGACCGAUAUCAGAAUUGUGGUUGUGGGUGACUCUAAGAUUAAAUGGUGGGUCAUCGUCGUAUUAAGGUCUUCUGCGACACAGGAUUGUAGGCGUGUAGGUCGGUCAUAAUCUGUGUGGGGUCUGUUGGUGGAAUGGUUGUUGCCGGGAAUUCGUCAUUCCAGUUCUCGGGUGGAAUUGAAGAUGGUGACUUUUAUUGUGGUUGGGAUUUCACAAGCGCAUUAGAAUUUAUUUUAUAAAAAUUGAUGUCAACAGGGGAUUUUAUAAUUUUUGUUUUUUUAAAGCUCAAGUAACGGCCACUGAAUUAUCUUCGUUGGAAUGGAUUUAUGCUGUUUGAGCUUGUCUUUUGGUUUUAGUGUUCUCCAAAACAUUUUGUUUGAUCCUAUGACCUGUUUCUUUUGUUUUGAAGUUGGAAUACAUGGGUUGUUGAAAUUGAAAUAGAUUUUAACAGGGAAAACUACUGAUUGAUGCAACAUUGUCGCUGUUAGACAAUAAUCUCGAAUCCAUCGAUGGGACAAAAGCUGUUUUGAAUUUGGUGUAGUCAUCGAUCGUGAAAAAGUAUGAUCACAUGCAACAGAAGAUAUAGCAAUCAAGUUGCCAGAUGGUCAGGGUUUGCUGCUGAAAAAUGGUUGCAUAAUUGUAAUCUAGAGACUUGUGGUUGGCAGAUGUUUGAUUAUCUAUAUGAGCGACAAAAUCGAUAAAUGAAACUCAAGUUAGGGAGUUCGGUGGUAGGGCAUGCAAACAUUAUAAAGUGAAUGAUUAUAUUGUUUAGUUUUUGCUCACCAUCGACCAACAACAAUUUCGGCAAGAGUAUGCUUGAUUUUAAUAUGGUCCAUUGGAGAUAUGAUAAUAUACGGUCCAAAUUUAGUUUAUACCAAAGGAAAAUGGUUAUUUCAGUACUAAUAGACUUGCUAAUAGACAUUGAGGAAUGUUGUGGGCAGGCUGUGGGGGGACCUUCUUUAAUAGUCCCAUAUCGGACAACUCUGGUGUGUGCAUGUGCUUAAGUAGUGCGGUCCGCCUCUUACCUCGUGAGGCGCCUUUUGUCCAGAGGGGUAGAUGGGAUAAAACCGUGACCUGUCGAUCGCGUGCGGCCCGUAGGGCGGCGCCGUCGGGGAAAGCGGACAAUACCUUGCGAUGGUGGAGAGGAAAAGGUGUCCGUAACCUUCCGUCGGGGAAAGCGGACAAUACCUUGCGAUGGUGGAGAGGAAAAGGUGUCCGUAACCUUAACACGUG